CUUCAGGGAGCCGAGCAGCAGCGGCGUCUCCCGGUCCCGGCCGUACGCCGCCAGCAGGGCCUCGGCCUC
rnacentral:antisense_RNA from 2 species